AGAAGAUUCUAGACAAGAGACAGUAGAGGAGAACUGAACACACCCCUGCCCCCACCUCUAUACACACACACAUCCUUUUCCCAUGAAAUAGGGGAAGGAUAAAGGUUAGAGUGGCCUCUUGGGAUCAGUUGUACUUCCUCAAAGACAAAGUGUCAGAGAGACCAGACCAUUCUUGGACUCUUUCCUAUCUGGCCUCCUGCCCUUCCUGGCAGGUGACCUUGCUGAACAAAGCCAGAGACAGGGGACCCAGCAGCUUCCCCAGAUUCCGGAACAGUUCCAGGAAUGAGCUAGACUGUUUCCAUUGACCUUUCCCCUACUUUCCAUAGGUUGUAUUGGGCAGGCUGAGGCAGAAGCCUAAGACUCAGUAAAUAGAGUCAGGGCUGCUAGUCCUCUGGAGGACCACCUGAGAGGGUAGAGGUCCAGGCACUACUUGCAAACAUUUAGAGAGGCCCCACGUGGUUCUUGCUCAGCCCUGUACUGCAUGCCUGCUUAUGUUGAACAGAUUGCUCCCAUGCCCACAGCCUAGGCUGCUCUGGCCCCAGGCAGGGUAGGUUCUCAGUCAAGAAUCCUAUCCUUCCAUACCCCAUGUUCCAUCCCUAGCCUACUGGUCCCCUCCAACCUUGGGCAGGAAGCUUGAGAUUGGGGUCUGCAAAUUUAAGCUCAGGGACUCAAGUGAUUUGAGGGAGGGCUGAAUGAGAGACCUCAUGCAGUUUAGAAGAUUGGGAGUAGAGACCAAAGAAAAUUGGAGGGUCAAAUAUUGGGUGGACAGGACACCCAUGGUUGGUGAGGUAAAGACACAUAUUUUCCUCAAUUCAUUUUUAUUGCUGUUUGAACUUUGAAAGGAAGGAAGGGUGGCUUGUAGGCUUAGGCUAGUUUAAGAACUAAGCCAAAGGGAAAAGCUGCUAUCUCAACUGGGCAAAGCACUGGUUUAUGGUCCUAGUUUCACCACUCCAUAGCUUUGUACCCUUGGGAAUGUCAUUUAGUCUCCAAGCGUCAAAUUCCUCAUGUAUGAAAGGGGAUUUGAGUUAGAUGUCCACUAGGAAAUCCUUCAAGCUGAUGUUGAUCCACCUGCAAGAAUCCAAAUGGUUCUGAGAACAAAGAUCAGGAUGUGUCCAGCUUUUGCUGAAUUCAUUCCAUCUGCUGGAUUUCCCCACCUUAUUCUCAGCUGGGCAGGCUAAACAUACCUCAGGCAACUAGCCAGUCCUUUCCAGGAACCUGCUUCAGCCCAAGUAGCAGAAGGAUCAGCAAGUCCAUUAACUAGCAAGGAAGGAGACACCCCUGUAGCAGAGUUCAAGGUCACAGUCAGCAAGCCAGGACUCAAAUCAAGUAGGCCACCAAGGAAUUUCUGACUGAGGAAGGGGCCUCUGGGGCAGGUCCUCCCUAUCUCCCCUCAUGUAGCAUGUCUGGCCAGAGGACAGAGAAGAGAAAUGAGCUAGACAGGAAUAGUUCAGUUAGCUAAUCUGGCCAGACCAGUGGUGACCCUUUCUCCACUGACCUUUCCCCUAUUGAGGCUCACUUUUUCCCCAAGGUCAUUUGGGACCAGAAAGUGGGAAAUAACAAGUUCUAGUUUCCUAGUAUCGCCUCAGAAAGGUCUUUGCCUUAUCCCCAACAGGACUUAAUUUGCCAUUUUGUACUCCAGAGGGAAGGGAGGUCCCCCCUGCAACUCUAAUGGGAGUCAGUGGAAAGACAGUGAUCCAACCGUAAUUGCAGGACCUGAGAGGCUAAGUGUGAUCACCCGGGGCACCCAAAAUUUGGGGUUAAGGAAUCCAGGGAUUCCUCAGACCCAGUCCUGACCAAUGCAGGGAGGGGCUAUGCCCCGGUGACCCCUGACUCUGGGACUGUUCUCCAUUCUCAAACCUCUCCUCCUCCUGGGAUUCUCAGCUGUGGGCUGAGGUUCCCAAGACGUGGACCCCUGCCUCUCCUUGAAUCUUCUCCAGUCUCUAAUUCCUUUCCCUUGGUAUAAAAUAGACAAGGAGAAAUAUCCAAAUCCUGUCUCUUAUGUUCUCUGUUACACUCAGGGCAGCCUUAAUAGUGCUAGAAUAGGAAGGAGGUUAGACCUGUCUUUGCCUUACCCAAAAGGAUGGGGGGGACAAACUAACCUGAGUCAUGGACACAGAUCUGGGAUAUUUCCUAUCUUGGAGAGAACAGAUGAAAUCCCAUGUGGACAGGGAAAGAAGCACUGGUACUCAUCCUCCUUAUACUCUGCUAUGGCCAGAGAAGUAGCCAUUCUAGAGGGGAAAUUCCCUCUUCUAAGGAGGUCGAGGUAACUCUUUUACCUCAUUUUUCGCGGGCAGGGGUGGUAAGAGGAUGUGAAACAAAGAUGGGCUCAUUGAGAGGAAGGACAAAUGCUGACUGGUCCUUUUCUCAGCCCUCUGCUCCCUGUCUCCAAGCCUCUCUCUUGGCCCUUGGACAGUCUUUCUUGUCUGACCAUACUUGGAUGCUCUUGGCCCCUCACCUCUCCCUUACAUGGCUCCUGUUUUGAGACUUGCUUUCCAUCCUGAGCCACCAUUCUAACACCUGUCCAGAGCUAUCAGGGAUGUUUAUAAACUUCUCAGGAGCUGGACUGGGCCAGGUCAGGAGGGGUGGCUAAGAGCCAGAAAGAGAGCUUGUCACUCAGACUCAUUCUUAUUGUCUUUCAGAUUCCUUUCCUUUUCUGACUCUCUAACCACGGCUUUCUUUCCAUGUCUCUCUUUGCCUCAUGUCUUUAGCAUUAUGCUACUUGAAUUAGGUUAUCAAUGGGUGAUGUGGUGAGGAAUAUUUGUAGCCACAGACUACACAUCUUCCAGAAUGUCAAUUUUACUUUUAAGAUUUGCUGGGGGAAGGUAAAUUAUUCUUAUACUAAAAUUACACAAAUAUAUUAUGCAGUGUGAAUCAAAAUUUGCACUUUUUAAACAUAAAAUGGGUACUUCAAAGACAUUUCUGGCUUGUGACAGGCUACUUUGGACUGUUCCAGAAGCCUGGGGGGAAAUUCAGUUUCCCUAGUCUUAGGGGUCCUUCAGAGGAAAUAUUUGAGAAGCUCUACUUAGAGCAGAGGUGACAACCUAAGGCAAAAACCUUAACACCAGACAAGAGCCAAGAAUAUAAAGGAGUGAAGCAGGGAUAUGGAGCUAAAAACAUUUUGGGGUCUGGAACAGAAACCAAAGAUUCCUCAGAGUUGGAAGAUGAGACAAGCAUGAAAGCCCACGCAUAGAGAGAAAUGGGAGAACAGGAGACGAAGGAAGGAAGCUGUGAGCCUGGAUAGAUGAAGGAGGAAGUCAGAAUUUAGACAGCUACAUUGGCCCACCAGGAAAAUAACUUGCCUGGAUAGUACUUCUUGCUUUUAAUGGUUAUGAUUUUUGCCAGAAGAUGAGACAAUGGGUGUCCUCCAGCAUCAUAUCUAUGUACAUAUUUCUCUGCAAUGUGUCCGGCAGGUCCCACUCUUUGUGGCCCCGCCCACUCACCAGUAAGGAGUAUUCAACUCGAAGGAUGUUGCAGCCCAAGAUAGAAGGCCUGA